UCGUCGCAACAGGGGCGUCCGCCAUGCGCGGGCUGAGAAGCACCCUUCGAACCUGACCCGGAUCAUGCCGGCGGAGGAAGUUGCGGACACGUCCCC
rnacentral:ncRNA from 2 species